rnacentral:pre_miRNA from 1 species
CAACUACUCCCUCUGUCCCAAAUUUCUUGUCUUAGAUUUGUCUAGAUACGGAUGUAUCUAAUACUAAAAUGUGACUUGAUACAUCCGUAUCUAGACAAAUCUAAGACAAGAAUUUNAUACUAAAAUGUGACUUGAUACAUCCGUAUCUAGACAAAUCUAAGACAAGAAUUUUGGGACGGAGGGAGUACUUU